ACUCCUACGGGAGGCAGCAGUGGGGAAUAUUGCACAAUGGGGGAAACCCUGAUGCAGCCAUGCCGCGUGUGUGAAGAAGGCCUUCGGUUGUAAGCACUUUCAGUAGGGAGGAAGGUAGUGUAGUUAACACCUGCAUUAUUUGUACGUUACCUACAGAAGAAGCACCGGCUAACUCCGUGCCAGCAGCCGCGGUAAUACGGAGGGUGCGAGCGUUAAUCGGAAUUACUGGGCGUAAAGCGCAUGCAGGCGGCCUGUUAAGUCAGAUGUGAAAGCCCGGGGCUUAACCUCGGAAUUGCAUUUGAAACUGGCAGGCUAGAGUCUUGUAGAGGGGGGUAGAAUUUCAGGUGUAGCGGUGAAAUGCGUAGAGAUCUGAAGGAAUACCAGUGGCGAAGGCGGCCCCCUGG
rnacentral:rRNA from 1 species